UGGGGAAUCUUCCGCAAUGGACGAAAGUCUGACGGAGCAACGCCGCGUGAGUGAUGACGGCCUUCGGGUUGUAAAGCUCUGUUAAUCGGGACGAAUGGUUCUUGUGCAAAUAGUGCGAGGAUUUGACGGUACCGGAAUAGAAAGCCACGGCUAACUACGUGCCAGCAGCCGCGGUAAUACGUAGGUGGCAAGCGUUGUCCGGAAUUAUUGGGCGUAAAGCGCGCGCAGGCGGAUUGGUCAGUCUGUCUUAAAAGUUCGGGGCUUAACCCCGUGAUGGGAUAGAAACUGCCAAUCUAGAGUAUCGGAGAGGAAAGUGGAAUUCCUAGUGUAGCGGUGAAAUGCGUAGAUAUUAGGGAGAACACCAGUGGCGAAGGCGACUUUCUGGACGAAAACUGACGCUGAGGCGCGAAAGCCAGGGGAGCGAACGGG
rnacentral:rRNA from 1 species